UACGUAGGUGACAAGCGUUAUUCGGAUUCACUGGGCGUAAAGGGUGCGCAGGCGGCCGUGUGUGUGAGGCGUGAAAGCCCGGGGCUUAACCCCGGAAUUGCACCUCAAACUACAUGGCUAGAGCAUUGGAGAGGGUAGCAGAAUUCAUGGUGUAGCAGUGAAAUGCGUAGAUAUCAUGAGGAAUACCAGAGGCGAAGGCGGCUACCUGGACAAUUGCUGACGCUCAGGCACGAAAGCGUGGGGAGCAAAAGGG
rnacentral:rRNA from 1 species